rnacentral:rRNA from 1 species
CCUACGGGUGGCAGCAGUGGGGAAUAUUGCACAAUGGGGGAAACCCUGAUGCAGCGACGCCGCGUGAGUGAAGAAGUAUUUCGGUACGUAAAGCUCUAUCAGCAGGGAAGAAAAUGACGGUACCUGACUAAGAAGCCCCGGCUAACUACGUGCCAGCAGCCGCGGUAAUACGUAGGGGGCAAGCGUUAUCCGGAUUUACUGGGUGUAAAGGGAGCGUAGACGGCAGCGCAAGUCUGGAGUGAAAUCCCAUGGCUUAACCAUGGAACUGCUUUGGAAACUGUUCAGCUAGAGUGCAGGAGAGGUAAGCGGAAUUCGUAGUGUAGCGGUGAAAUGCGUAGAUAUUAGGAGGAACACCAGUGGCGAAGGCGGCUUACUGGACUGUAACUGACGUUGAGGCUCGAAAGCGUGGGGAGCAAACAGGAUUAGAUACCCCUGUAGUC